rnacentral:rRNA from 1 species
UACGUAGGCAGCAAGCGUUGUUCGGAGUUACUGGGCGUAAAGGGUGCGUAGGCGGCUUCUUAAGUCUUGUGUGAAAUCUUCGGGCUCAACUCGAAGUCUGCACGAGAAACUAUCUGGCUUGAGUGUGGGAGAGGUGAGUGGAAUUCCUGGUGUAGCGGUGAAAUGCGUAGAUAUCAGGAGGAACACCUGUGGCGAAAGCGGCUCACUGGACCACAACUGACGCUGAGGCGCGAAAGCUAGGGGAGCAAACAGG